rnacentral:rRNA from 1 species
UCGGGAAUUUUGGGCAAUGGGCGAAAGCCUGACCCAGCAACGCCGCGUGAAGGAUGAAGUAUUUCGGUAUGUAAACUUCGAAAGAAUAGGAAGAAUAAAUGACGGUACUAUUUAUAAGGUCCGGCUAACUACGUGCCAGCAGCCGCGGUAAUACGUAGGGACCAAGCGUUGUUCGGAUUUACUGGGCGUAAAGGGCGCGUAGGCGGCAUGACAAGUCACUUGUGAAAUCUCUGGGCUUAACCCAGAACGGCCAAGUGAUACUGUCGCGCUAGAGUGCAGAAGGGGCAAUCGGAAUUCUUGGUGUAGCGGUGAAAUGCGUAGAUAUCAAGAGGAACACCUGAGGUGAAGACGGGUUGCUGGGC